GAGGAGCAACAGCCCUCGGGGAAAGAAAGCCAGAGGGUGCCUCCAUCGACGGUAGCCAAGCCUGAGGGUCCCAGCGAGCUGGGGGACACGCGUCCCAUCUUGGCGUUUCCCCAGCGAUCGCCAGAGGUGGAAGGUGGGCGUGAUGACUGGAGCUGGAGCAACCAUUUUGAGCCACAAAGAGGAAGCCUCGUGUUAAAGUAUGAGAACAACGAGCUAGAAAGAACCUGGGCCCCUGGACUCCUUCACAGCAGUUUCUGACUCGGUGAGCGAGAAAGACGCUCCCGUUGUGUUUGUUUAAGCCGUCUUUAAAUUUUGAGUUUUCUCUUUCUCAGGGUAGAAUGAAUCCUGAUAUACUAGUGGUGUGGCCUUGAGCAAAUUUGCUCAAUCUCCCUGGGUCUCAGGAACCUCCUCAACAAAAUAGGUUUAAAAAUCCCAAACCCUUAGAAAUGUGAGGACUCAAGAACACAACACGGUAGUUCUCUGCUGCCUCUGAUACAUUUUGUGAUGACGCCCUAGAAAUACAGGUCUUCAGGACCCAUGCUGAAGCAUUUGAAUCACCAGGUCUGACACGGGGGCCCGACGAUGUCCAUUUUUGUCAAGUCUCCCAAGUGACGUGAUACUCAGCCAGCUUUGGGAAGCAUGUUGCUGAGAGAUCCAUCUCCUUUCCCUGCUUUCGAAGUCAGAGUUAAGAGAUGUGGCGUGCACACAUCAUACAAGGGGGCUCGCCCACGUGGAGGGGGCCUUACUAAGCCUCCAGCCCGCCCCCCGACCCCUGCACUGCAAAUGCCCAUCAGCCCUCACCCUCCCCGGAGGAAGGACUGAUCUGCUGGUUAACGACAGUGUGAGCCAUCAGCAGCCACCAGCUGCUCAGUCCCAUCUGAACCGCUCGCUCUGAAUUUCUGUUUAAAAUGCAGCAGCGUCCGUGGAUUAUGGCUUGCUGGUUUACAUGCUCAUGAUGGAUCUUUUAAUCUAAUUAAGGGAAGGCAAAGAUUUUCCCCUGGCGCUAUCAGCUGCAGAGAGCUCUGAUUUUUAAGCAUAGCAUACUAACUGAGAGCACUUAUAGGUGCAGGAAAAUCUGGGCCCUGAUGCUGGCUGUGUGUCCCUGAACAAAUCACUUAACUUCUCUGAAGAGCUAGCUUUCACCUCCACGAGCCAGUCUUUGGGCCAAGCCCUUUGCACGCAUAGACCCGCCCCACCAACAGCCCAUGAGGCAGGUGUCUUCAUGAUUCCCAUUUUACAGACGGGGAAACGGAGGCUCAGAGGGGCUACCUAAAUAGCCCAGACCACACAGGGAGUAAAUGGUGUGACUAUGAUAGAACAACACUAUCUGGCUGAUGGACCGGGCAGAGAGUGAAAUCGUCGAGUGUCUCUGGAGAGUUUAGCACGGCUGUGACCCACUAGGUUUAACAUUCCCCGUUGUAACAAUUAGCUACUAUUGUUACUGUCAUGAUUAUGAGGUUGUCACCGAUGGAGGUGGCAUGGGAGCCAGGGAGCACGGAAUCAUCCAGGAAAAACAGUGCUCCCGUCCAGGUGGAGGAGCGCGGGAGAGAGAACAAGAUCGACGGAGGGCUGCUGUCGUCCCACAGAGCUGCCUGUCCUGGUCCAGAUUGGAGCUGAUGGCUCGGGAGAUGGUUGUCUCAUUGGACACUGUGUCUUAACUAUGAUGUAUUUCAGAGCACAUUUCAGACAACGGGAGCAAACACCUCAGCGUUUCUGUAAAGCUGCAGAGUCACUUGGGCCACUGAAACUCGUCCUGGAAGUUCCAUGUGUGUGGUUCAGAUGGACACAGCAUCCCCGAAAUGGAAACAGAGGUGGGAUCUGGGCCCUUGACUCCCAGAACUGUCUUCUCAUCUGAGCGGAUACCCAGGAGCUUGGGGCUCUGAAAAGUAGAGUUUGAAAGUCAUUACUCUUACGGAAGAGGAAACUGAGGCUUGGUUGGGAGUAAGGUCACGUAUCCCAAGUCAUUCAUGCAUUAAUAAAAGACUGUUAAGCCUGA